UACCAUCCUUGGAUAUCACUUAGCAAUUAUCCUCCAUGAUAGAAUUAAAUAUACACAUUAGCUCAUGCAAAACACCAUAAAAUAUGGCAAAAGGGAUACCUGUACUAUCUGUUGUCAGGGUGGUUGUUGCGGCAUGUACCGCCCUCCUUCCUUAAGGUAUAUCCUCAAGAAAAUACAAAAUAAAAAGCAUGAAAAAAUAUUAAAAAUACCAAUAUUCCCGCAGACUGUUUGAUUGGACAUAUCUUCCAAAACGUCAAUUUCUCCCAAUUUGUAAGAAUCUCCAUGAAGUGAAAUCUUUACUAAAAAAAUUAGCACGUAAAGGAGUCGGAGUCGCUCAUAUUUUUACCGACUCCGACUCCGACUCCGACUCUGACUCCGACUCCGACUCCGACUCCGACUCUGACUCCAAUUCCGACUCCGACUCCGACUCCAACUCCGACUCUGACUCCAAUUCCGACUCCGACUCCGACUCCGACUCUGACUCCAAUUCCGACUCCGACUCCGACUCCGACUCCGGCCAAAAGUAGCCGACUCCUCGACUCCUCGACUCCGACUCCGACUCCGACUCCACACCCCUGGAAAAAACCACGAAACUGUAAUAUUUUGAUGUUAUUUUUAUAAUGAAAUCUGUAUGUGUAAACUGACGAUAUAAUUUAAGUUAAAUAACAGUUUUGCUUACUAAAAUGAGGAAAUUGAAAAAACACGACAUUGUGCAAUAUGAAUGCAGAUUACAACACCGUGUAUUGUACAGUAGUGGUUAUUCUCUCGGACCCAAUGUACCCCCUGAAAAGUGCAAAUGUACCCCUGGGGGUACAUGUACCCCAGGUUGGGAACCCCUGCUCUAAGCCCUGAUUAAUAAAAGAAAAAUUAGCAUGAAUGUAACAUAUUUUAACCCAUCCGCUGCAAUUGGCACGGAUUUGGCUUUCAGUGGUAGCUUAGUAACAUAUGCUCCCAGGUCUCUCUGGCUCUGUGGUGGAUAGUGGAGUGUUUCCCAUGUGGUAUUGGUAUACAGGAUAUCCCCUCCCAAGGUGCAUGACUUACAUUUUUCUUCAUUGAAUUUUAGCAGCCACUUUUUGUUCCAUUCCUCUAUCUUGGUGAUGUCUUCUUGCAGGAAAUCCCCAGUCAAGGGGUUAAUGUCAGUUGUAAAUCAUCAUUAUAUCCUAUGGAGUAUCAUUUUCUUGUUUGGUUGUGUGUGUGUGUGUGUGUUCCCCUGCAGAGCCUGACGGUUGGCCAGGUGCUGCUGGGCUGUGUGUUGGAGGAGAGGGACUAGGAGCUGGUGGUGAGUCUGCCCCAUAAGCUGGUGGGCAGCAUCAGCCUGGCAAACAUCUCUCGGCCCUACACGGCUCCUCUGUCCAAGCUGAAGGAUGAUGAGGAGGGGGAGGAGGAAAUCCAGGCCCUGCAGGAGCUGUAUCAGCCAGGCCAGCAUGUGGUGUGCAGUGUGGUGUCCAUCGAGAAGGUCAACAACAUGACCUGGGCCUCUCCGGUGCCCAAUGCUGCCAGACUUCAACAUACUGCCUCCUGCACCAACCAGUAACCUUCAGUCCUCCUCUCCCUCCCUGUCCACAGUGAGUCUCACACUAAUGCCCAAUGAGGCGAACUUUGGCAUCUCAGCAUCGUGCCUGGAGAAGGGUCUGGUGCUGCCCUGUGCUGUGGCCAGCCUGGAGGACAAGGGCUAUGUCAUGGACACAGGCAUUCCCAAGAUCAAGGCA